CGGUUGGGCCUUUCAGGCAUCCUCUCCCAAACUUUUCAGGGCCGCCCGGCAACGGUGCGGCCCAUUUUUUGGCUGAGA
rnacentral:sRNA from 1 species